rnacentral:tRNA from 1 species
GCGCACUUAGCUCAAUGGAAGAGCAUCAAUCAUGAAAUUUGAGGUUGUGGGUUUGAUUCCCACAGUGCACA